GGCAUCGUAGCUCAGCUGGUAGGGUGUGUGCUGUGAAAAAGCGGAGGUGGCGUCCGUACGUGGGUUCGAAUCCCACCGAGGUCA
rnacentral:tRNA from 1 species